rnacentral:rRNA from 1 species
GCAAGUCGAACGCAGUAGCAAUACUGAGUGGCAGACGGGUGAGUAACAUGUGGGAAUCUGCCUUGUGGUUCAGGACAACAUUGGGAAACCGAUGCUAAUACUGGAUAAGCCCUUACGGGGAAAGUUUUAAUGCCAUAAGAUGAGCCCGCAUCUGAUUAGUUAGUUGGUGAGGUAAUGGCUCACCAAGACAAUGAUCAAUAGCUGAUCUGAGAGGAUGAUCAGCCACACUGGGACUGAGACACGGCCCAGACUCCUACGGGAGGCAGCAGUGGGGAAUCUUGCACAAUGGAGGAAACUCUGAUGCAGCGAUGCCGCGUGAGUGAAGAAGGCCUUUGGGUUGUAAAGCUCUUUUGUAGGGGAAGAUAAUGACUGUACCCUAAGAAUAAGGUCCGGCUAACUUCGUGCCAGCAGCCGCGGUAAUACGAAGGGACCUAGCGUAGUUCAGAAUUACUGGGCGUAAAGCGCGCGUAGGCCGUUGAGUUAGUUAAUUGUGAAAUCCCAAAGCUUAACUUUGGAACUGCAAUUAAAACUGCUCGACUAGAGUUUGAUAGAGGAAAGCGGAAUACAUAGUGUAGAGGUGAAAUUCGUAGAUAUUAUGUAGAACACCAGUUGCGAAGGCGGCUUUCUGGAUCAACACUGACGCUGAGGCGCGAAAGUAUGGGUAGCAAAGAGGAUUAGAUACCCUCGUAGUCCAUACCAUAAACGAUGAUUGCUAGAUGUUGGAAAUUUAUUUUCAGUAUCGCAGCUAACGCAUUAAGCAAUCCGCCUGGGGAGUACGACCGCAAGGUUAAAACUCAAAUGAAUUGACGGGGACCCGCACAAGCGGUGGAGCAUGUGGUUUAAUUCGAAGAUACGCGCAGAACCUUACCAACCCUUGACAUGUCUGUCGCGAGUUUAGGAAACUAGACUUUUCGGUUCGGCCGGACAGAACACAGGUGCUGCAUGGCUGU